rnacentral:rRNA from 1 species
UACGAAGGGGGCUAGCGUUGCUCGGAAUUACUGGGCGUAAAGCGUACGUAGGCGGCUUUGCAAGUUAGAGGUGAAAGCCUGGAGCUCAACUCCAGAACUGCCUUUAAAACUGCAUCGCUUGAAUCCAGGAGAGGUGAGUGGAAUUCCGAGUGUAGAGGUGAAAUUCGUAGAUAUUCGGAAGAACACCAGUGGCGAAGGCGGCUCACUGGACUGGUAUUGACGCUGAGGUACGAAAGCGUGGGGAGCAAACAGG